UUUUUCCGCCAGUCUUGGCGGAAGCCUGAGACGCAAUAGAUGGAGACUCUCCUUUUCGCCUUGGCGUACUCUUUUUUUUUUUUUCCUCCCUGGAGCUGGUCUUGUGGGGCAGCCCUAAAAUGUAUCUCCAAGUGACCCUGCACUCAUCACUUGCUGCCUUGGACUUAGUUUCCUCAUUCGUAGAAUGGAGACACCACACUUUCUGAAGUGCUUAUGAGACUUGCAGGAGCCUCAGGAUGUUCCAUCUGCCCUACUUGAAUGCCUGAAGCCCUUCUUUCUCCAAUGACCCUGAGGAAAAUCUUGAAGGCGUUUCUUAGUCUGUGGAUUUUUUCUCCACAAGGGUAUAAAAUAAGAAGAUGAGGGAAAUAACCUUAACUGAAUACAUGGUGAUAUGGUUUGUCUGUGUCUCCACCCAAAUCUCAUCUGGAAUUGUAGCUCUCAUAAUUGGGAGA
rnacentral:lncRNA from 1 species